GCCAAGUGACGCCUUAAAGAGCUGGCCGGACUGCUACUGCCUGCUUUUUAUCUCUGGAACUCCAAAGGUGCCUCCAGCGCCCAGGACUGCGCGGUUUCUGAGGCGGCUGCAUCGCGGGAGUUGGCACAUCGCGAGAUUUCAGGAGCCGCCAGCCCGCGUCCGGGCAGGUGGGGAUGACGGUUAUUCAGGAGAGCCCAGCCCUGCGGGCGCUGCAUUCUGGGAUUGAAAUGGAAGACAGAGCAAGGAUGAGGUGAGUGCCCGUGCCCCGGGCGUCCGGAAGUCUUUUCCAGACCUCCAUGUUUUAGGCAAAUCUCAACUCUGGUCUUCCGGACACGACAGAGAGAAUGCAGAAGCCUGAGGAGCACCUAGAUGAAUGCCACUCCUACAUGAGAAUUUGGAUAGUCCUGUACAAAAGAUGUGUUGACGCUGGUUUUGGAAAGGAAACAUGGAAACUGUUAAUAGCUCCUGAGACCAAGAACCCAGAGCUCCUCAGAAGACAAGAGUGAAAAGUUACAUUCUUUCCUUUUGGAGUUCCUUCAGGGUAGAAAGUGUAAUCAAUAGCUCAGUAAAUUAUCCUGUGACAAUUGAAGAGUACCUAAAGCUGAGUAAGUAGAAUAAGCAAGAUUAAUUUCCCUCUCAUUGCUGUCAGCAAACCUCCCACCCACUAUGAAGCACUGAUAAGCUUCCAUCGCGAUCAAGAAGGGUUACUUGCUGCCACCUCCUUUUGGACACUACACUUAAUAGAUGGUCCAUGAGUUACAAACUUUUUUACUACUUCAUCUGGUAUUUCUCUGCAUGGAAGAAUAUGAGAUCAAGAUAUACAGAAGUUUGCCUACUCUUGAAAACUAAUUGAAUACCCCAAAUACCUUUUCAAAAAGCAAAAAGCAAGGACAGUCUCUUCAACACAUGAUGCUGGGAGAACUGGAUCACCGCAUGCAGAAGUAUCAACAAGACCCCUACCUUACACCUGACAUAAAAAUCCACUCCAAAUGGAUUAAAUACCUAAAUCCAAUAUCAUCAAAUUAUUAGAGAACAUUGGGGAAACCCUGCAAGACAUUGGCAUAGGAAAAGAGUUUUUGAAAAAGACACCAGAGGCACAAGCAACCAAAGCCAAAAUUCACAAAUGGGAUUACAUCAAAUUGAGAAGCUUCUGUACUGCAAAAGAAACAUUCAAGAAAGUGAAGAAGUAACUGACAGAAUGAAAGAAAUUAUUUGAAAACUAUUCAACUGAUAAAGAAUUAAUAACCAGAAUAUAUAAAGAGAUCAAGAAACUCAACAACAAAACAAAUAAUCCAGUUAAGAAAUGGGCAAAACACUUAAACAGGCAUUUCUCAAGAGGAAAUCUAAAUGGCCAACAGACACAUGAAAAAAUGCUCAGGAACACUAGACAUCAGGGAAAUGCAAAUUAAAACCACAAUGAGGUUUCAUCUCAACUCAGUUAAAAUGGCUUUCAAUCAGAAAUCAAUAAACAACAAAUGCUGGCAAGGAUGUCAGGGGAAAAGGUACUCUAAUCUCCUGCUGGUGGGAAUGUAAACUGGAAAAGCCACUAUGGAAGACAGUAUGGAGAUAUCUCAGAAAUCUAAAUAUAGACCUACCAUAUGACUCAUCCAUUCCACUCCUGGGAAUUUAUCCAAGGGAAAUGAAAUCAGCAUAUGAAAGAGUUAUCUGUACCCCAUGUUUAUUGUAGCUCAAUUCACAAUAGCUAAGAAAUGGAAUCAACCCAAAUGCCCAUCAACUGAAGAUUGGAUAAAGAAAUUAUGGGAUAUGUACACUGUGGAAUACUAAAAAGCAGUAAAAAAAAAAUGAAAUCCUGUCAUUUAUAACAAAAUGGAUGAAACUGGAAAACAUCAUACUGAGUGAAAAAAGCCAGUCCCAAAAGGACAAAUACUACAUGUUCUCCCUAACCUGUGAUAACUAAUAGAGCUUCUAAAAGACAAUCUAUAGAAGUGAAAUUGACACAUUGAGAAGCAAUGACUUUGAACAGCCCUUGUCUUGACUGUUGAGGAACAUUUUUUUCACACUAUUUGUUGAAUUCUUUACUUAACAGGGUUAAUCAUAUGCAUAUAAAGUUAUUCGAAAAUAGAUCUUAGUACAAAAUAAGAAUGGGAAUAGGAGAGCGAGGAAAAAGAGGGAUCGAAGAGUGGA